GAUAUUAGUUGCCGACUGCAAGCAUGGACCAUUUUUGGUUUGUAUAUGUAUGACCGAGCGGUAUAGCAUCCAUCUUCGUGGUGAUGAUGAGCAGUAGCGUCUAUCUCCAAAGUCUCCAAGGUGAUUGGAGUUCUACGAAGACUAAAAAACCAUUGCUUCCACAGCCAACUCUUGUCUUCAUUUAGCCUACAACUCUUUAAUACAGUCACACUUUGAUUAUUGUAUAGCACUGUUUUGGUAGCUUGUAGGCAAGGGUUUUGGACAAAAGCUACAGCGUUUACAGAAUAGGGCUGCAAGAAUUAUUACUGAAUCUGAUUACAACAUUCGGUCCUCAGAUAUCUUAACGUCAUUGUAUUGGACCAACCUUAAAACCAUACGCACUCAACAGUUUAAAACUUUUAUGUAUACAAAACUGUUAAUAACAUGGUUCCUAGUUACUUGUCAACAAAAUUACUGCAAUUUCUGUGAUACACGAACACAAUGUACGAGGCUUUAAACAUAAAACGUUUGUUCCAAGACCCUUAACUGAGUCCUUAGAGAAGAGC